GAUCCUGGCUCAGGAUGAACGCUAGCGACAGGCUUAACACAUGCAAGUCGAGGGGCAGCGGGGUGUAGCAAUACACCGCCGGCGACCGGCGCACGGGUGAGUAACACGUAUGCAAUCCACCUGUAACAGGGGGAUAACCCGGAGAAAUCCGGACUAAUACCCCAUAAUAUGGGCGCUCCGCAUGGAGAGCCCAUUAAAGAGAGCAAUUUUGGUUACAGACGAGCAUGCGCUCCAUUAG
rnacentral:rRNA from 1 species